GUUUUAUCAAGUCUUCGAUCCCGAUAGCAAGUUAGGCUAUCGUCUCCAAACCAAAUUUUAGGGUUCGCAAUCUUCUUCGAUCUCCAACAACGACGAUGUUCAUAUGCGCUCACCACACCAACAAUGGAGGAUCUCCGUGUGUCUCUUCAAUCAGCUAGACAUUCUUUCCUACAAACCGUUACGGGAUGCUUUGAUUCAUCUUCAUUAAUGACCGUCUUAACUCAUUCGGCCACUCCAAGCACGUUUCCUCAUUCAUUGCAUCUUUCCUUUGUACAAGGAGGUGAAUCUACAGCUAUAAAAAGUAAAACUGUAAAUAAGGGAGUUUGAGCGCUGGAUAUGAAGGGUCUUUAAAAAAUAUUACGUGUUUGCGGAAGGGGAAGAAGAUUCUGGAGGAGAAAUUGAUAAGUUUGAAGUCAAGCUUUCUAGAAGAAAGAAUUGGAUCACAGAAAUUGAUGUUUCUCAUUCAGAUGGCUUUGUCUGGGUGUCAAUUGACUGAAUGGAAUAAGCAGUCUUCUGCAAAGGAGGUCAUGCACAGGACUCAAAGAGACAUGUAUGUUCAUUAAAGAAACAAUCAAGCACAUACUCCACUACUGCACGCACAGGUUCACAUGUAAGGCUUUGACCCACAGCCACUGGGUGGCGCCGGUCCAUCAGCAGCGCGGAGCUCUAAGGUCCUCUGUUUUUAUGUUUAUUCUCAUCAUAUUUCAUUUAAGUAUUUGUGUUUGAGUCUCAUGAUCAUAUGUUUUCUCCAAACCAGGCAGUUAAAAGAUGUGAGUUGAAGUAUGAUCAUGAACGUAUAUGACUUGAUAGAUUUUGGUAAUAAGUUAAUUUGGAUGGCUGACACCUUCCUUCUUUUGGCACACUUCUGAAUGAUUUUAAUUUGUAACUGAUGGAGGUAGGCCAAUGAAGUCAAGAAUCUAACGUUUGUCACUUAGGAAGACCGCUAACGACUUUGACGAAGUUAUCAGGUAAUAAUUCUUUUCGCCAUGACAUGCGUUGGUGGAAGGAGGAGGAUUCUGCAUCAUCUUCUUUGCUUCAAGUUUUUUCUUUGGUUUGUUUCAGAGUCAAGGAAAACUUCAAAGUUGUGUCCCUCUAUUUAUUUUUAAGUCGUUGUACGAUUUAUUUUUUUAAUGUUAUGCAAAACUAUUCAUAAUAUUAAUAAAUUUAAAUAACUGAUAAAAUAAUUUAAUAGCAUAUAACCCAAAUAUAUUAGAAACUAUGUUAGGAUCUUCUGUAAUUAAUUACUUAAGUAAUUUAAAUCAGUUACUUAAUUAUUGUAAGUGAAUAAAUUCUAUAGUCUUAUAUAUUCAUACAUAAACAGAAAAUUAUUAUAAAUAUGUUUUAGUCACACUGCAACAUACUCAUAUAAAACUUUCAUAUAACGCAAACAACUUUGAUGAAGUUACACAUCUAUCAGAAUUCUGGGUUAGUUACAUAUGUUUUAGUCACACUGCAACAAUACUCAUAUAAAACUUUCAUAUAACGCAAACAACUUUGAUGAAGUUACACAUCUAUCAGAAUUCUUGGUUAGUUUCAAUAGCAUUUACCUAUUUUACGUUAUAUUUUAUUAUUUAUUCUCUUCUUCAAUGUCAUAUUUGUCUAAUAUAAACCGUUACAAAAUGCAAUCAUCCAGAGGGCAAUCCAUUCAGACAAAUGAUAAUCACUAAAACCACAUAUUCAUUCUUAAGAGUCUAAAAUAUAGCAAAAUACAUUAAACCAACCACUUAUAGAUUCAAUAUUAUGAAAAAUACAAUCAGAAGACCACGUAAAGCUAACAUACACAGCAACUUCUUAAUAUGUACAAACAUUAAAGUAAAAUGUAAUAAAUUUAAUCUACAUAAUCCCUCUACGCCUAAAGAUUCUUAACAACUAUAAAGUUUUUAUACAUUUUUCUUGCAGAUGCUAACAUAAACACACACAAAAAAUACACAAUAAUAUUGUUAUAUAAUCAUACGUAAGUUAUAUUCCGCACAUUAAAUUUAAAGGAAAGAGUCCAUUGAAUUACUUAGAGACUAAUUGGAAACAAACGUUAUAAAUAGUUUUAAGUGAACCAAAACAUGUAAACAAUUCAACCAAUUAAAAAAUUUAAUUAAUUUUUAUUCAUUAUGCUCUUCAUCUUAUAUAUAAUUUUCAAUAACAAAAAAAUGGAUACAAAAAUUUUUGAAUCGCGUAAAAAAAAACGUUUAAUAAUUUAAAAUUAGAUUAUAUUUGUCUAUAGCUUCUUAUAUUUUUAUAAUAGAUUAUAAAAUUUAUAAAUUAAAAUAAACAUACUAAAUAUAUAAUCAAAAUUAUAGUUUAAACAAAAAACUCGGGCGUAGCCCGGGCCGACCUUAGUUUAAUAUAAACAUUUGUUGUUAAAAAAACAUCUAAUGAUAAGAAAUAAUUUUCUUCUUUAUUACUUUUAAAAACAAAUAUUGUAACUAAGCUUACUUUGGGUAAUAUAUUUGUUGUAGAAAAAAUUAAGAUAUUUGUUAAACAAAUAUGUUUUUUUCAAUAGGAAAGUUUGCAUUUUUGUACAUUUUUUAUUUUUCAUUUUUUGAUAAACAACAGUUUGGUUUAGUUUUUUAGACUUAAAAUUUGCAAUUCUCUCUUUUCUUUUUUAAAAGUUUGUUUAAAAAAAAUUAAUUUUUUAUUAGUGGUAUAUUUUUUACGGAAAACUAAGGAAAGAUUACUACUGUAUAUUUUAUUGUCUAAAUAACUUUUUGUUUUGUUUUAGAUGAUGUCUAAAUGCUGACAAAAGUACUGACUAAAUUCAACAUCUAUUUAAAAACGCACUUAUAAAAAACAUAACUAUUUUAGUUUUUAUUAGCGGUAGAUUUAUACGGAAAACAUAAUAAAAGAUUACUAGAGAUUAUUUUCUGGUCUAAAUUGUUUUUUUUUUUUUUUGUUUUUAGAUACUGUCUAAAUUACAAAAAGUACUGUCUUAAUUCGACAUCUAUAUAUACCGUUACAGUCGUAAAUUUAGCAAACCUAAUAAUUAAGGGAAUAUAAUUGUCUUUCUCUCUUUAUUAUUGGUCUCUUUUUGCUUAUGAUAAAUCAAUUAUAAAAAACAUUAUUGACUCUAACCAUCUAUGGGCAGGAAGGAAACUGACAUCUAAAGUGGACAGGGAAAUUCUCUUCUUCUAAUUAUGUGUAAAAAAAAUAACAUACUCUCUAGAAUUUUUAAUACAUGAUAUUUUAGAGAUAAAAAUAUUUAAAAUUAAAUAAUAUUUUCAGUUUUAGUGUAAAAGUUAUUAUUUUUUAUGUUAUAGAGUCACUUGUAUUAUGUAGUCUAUUUUACUAUUGGUUGAAUUAUGUUUACAUUAAUAAUUAAUAAUAUUUUUAAAAAUAUUUAAAACAAAUAUUUUAUUAAUCUAUAUGCAUAAUUCUAAAGUUUAAAGGUAGCUAGUUACUAAGAACGUGUGUGAAUGUACUUUCACCGAAUGUCUUCCGAUUUUGAGGAUUCUUUACAUUUCGAAGUUGAAUAUAUGUGUUGCAAAAGUAAUAUUUUACUGUACUAGUUUAAUGAUCAAUGACUAUUUUUCAUUUUUUUCCUGAGUGUUAAUCUUAAAUCCGAUAUCUUUUUUUUUCUUUGACAAAUCACUAUUCCGAUCAGUUUAUGGAGGUUCUCGUCUUCUCGAUAGUUAAGUUGAGUUUCUUACUCGGAAAAGAUAUCAAUCUUUGCUUCAGGAUAUUAAGGCGGAAAUCCUUGAGGAUAUGAGAUCGAGAUGAUUGGUUAAGUGGAGGAGAGUUGGUGCAGACUCAGAUUAGCCGGAGUUUUUUUGUUGAAAGCAUUCUAGCGAAGUUUUGUGUCUAUCUCCUUGAAGCUUCUUACCAGACUUCAUCUCUAACGUGAAAAUGUGGAAUCUUACACAACUGUCAGCGAACACGGAAAGGAGGAGCGGUCAAGCGGUUCAAUUAGGCGAAGAAAAAUAUCGAUUGUUCUCGGUCCGGUAGACUUUCCGGCGAAACCAACAGCACUCUCUUUGUAUCCUCAACUUCCACAUAAGGGUACACGUGUCGUUUAUUCGUCAAAGUUUAUUACCAAGAAACAUGUGUUUUAUUGUAUCCUUAUCUUUGUUUAUUUGGACUUCGACUGGGUUUAAAGUAUGUAUGGGAUGGAUUGUAACUGCUUGUAAAUUUUGUGUUUUAACUCAAUUAAUGAUAAAACUGUUGACAAAAAAACAAAAUAAAACAAAUAACAUAACUUCUGAUUAAAUAAACUAGACAUGGUAGAGACUCUUUAGACCAGCCACAAUGCCAUUCUGAUUCAAUAUUUCGGUUUCCUACUUUUUUCUAAAAAAUAUAUACCAAUUUAUACAAAUAUAUUUACAAAUAUAAAAGGAUAUUCCAAUCUUAACAUAAUAAAAGAAUUGCUAUUUAAUUUAAAAUAAUAGAUGUAAUUCAACAUACUAAAAGUAAAUAUUUGAAAUAUACAAAUUAUUAUAUGUGAAAUCACAUAUCUUUAAGAUGAGAACAUAAUGAUACAUAAUAUAUUUUCAUUAUACAUAUAAAUUACAAAAUAACUUAAAACUUAUAAACAAAGAAAAAACAUAUUUAUCAUUUGUUAUAAUUUAGACGUUGAAGGUAUUUGCCUGCUCUGUGGUUUACAUCAAGAAUCAAGAGAUCAUUUGUUUUUCGAAUGUGUUUACUCUGCAGAGGUUUGGAGAAAAUGUUUGGUUCACUUAGGCGUUUCCAACGCACAAAAUGUUAUUGACUGGUAGUCUGUCUUUCCCAGGGAUAGACUACACAAACUGGUUAUUCUACAUAUAUGGCAAGCUUGCUUGUAUGAAAUUUGGAAGGAGCGGAAUUCACAUUUCCAUCGGGGAACAACAACCCCACCAUUAAAAAUCUCUGAAGUUGCUAUUUGUAUAGCAAGGUCCAAGGAUAUUGCUCUGAAGAAUUCAGGAAGGAAUUUGGGAAGUGAGCUUCUUCCUUUCUGGUCUGUGGUCUAACUCCACUCUUUUGCUUCUGCAAUCACUCCAUUGAAGAUGAUUCAGUGUGCUUUAUCCUUCCAUCUCUUGUCUUUUAAAAGUUGUAUUGUUUGUUUCUCUUUCUUGUGUAUUUUUGUACUUUCUUUUUUAAUAUGAAGGCUAUUUCAAAAUUUUUUUUUGAUUAUCUUUAAUUAAAAAUAAAUCACAAUCUCCUAUAUAUUAAUUGAAUAUCAUUUAAAAAAGUUGUAACCUAUAUUUUGUACUAAUUAAAAAAGUGACAUGAUGACGUGUCACUUAAUUAGGAUGUCCAUAAAAUCAAUUGAAUAAUUUGUAAGUCCAAAAUCCAAUUGCUAGGAAACCUUAUAUCGAGGUUGAUACCCUAAUUUUCUCUCUCGAAGAGUUCUCCGCCGCUAAGACCCUCAUUUUCAGAUCUGCCACUGCCUCCCCGGUGGUUUGGCUUCCGCCACCGACGGGGGAUGCUCUUUCUCCUCUUUCCCUUCCGUGUCAUGUGGUGUCUUGUUCUCUCCUCUUUAGCGACGUCUUUUUCACCUCUUCUCUCUUUGCAGUGUCCUCUGUUUGUGGCGUUGACAGUUUCGGUGAUUCAGUUUCCGGUGUUCUUUGUGGAGGCUAGAGCAAGGAAGGUGUGUUUGGCUCCUUUUUCGGUUAAGUCUUCAGUUUGCUCCAUUCUCGCUGGUGAUUGUCCGGCCAGAUCUGUGGAGUGUACUUGGAGUCUAUAAAGAGAAGUCUCUGGUUGUUUCCAGAUCUAGUUUUGAGUUUUGUAUUCCUCUGCAGUGUCCAGUUGGUGGUGGUCUCUGUGGACCGUGGUUCUCUUGGAUCUUUGAAGUUUGACCUUCAGUGUUGAGAUAGUGAAAAUGGAAAUCCACGGGUCUCCCUUAGAAUCUCCUUACGGGAUGGUUUUGGUGGUGUUGGUGGAGCUACGUCUCUGACCUUACUGACUUAGUUCUUUGGCAACGGAAUCAUUAUGGCCUUUUCAUGUGUGGCGGCUUAGGUUCUUUGUUUCCAUUCACCAAUGUUCAGACCUUGUUGUUGGUAGUUGGUUUGAGUUCUUGUUUGUAAGCAUGGUGCUCAUUCUUAAGAUUGCUUUGCUUUUGUAACUCGUUGUAGUUCGCUGGCGUUUAUUGGUUGGGUCAUGUGUUAUCCGACUUCGCCGCAUUCGGAAGUUUUAUGAAGAUCAAUAGGUCUUUAACUUUCUGGUUUGGGAAGCCAUGGGUUCUUUGUGUUGGAGUGGUUACAAGCAUCUAUGUUCGUGCUUUGUGAGUUGGACUCCAUCUCUUUCACUCUCACAAUCUCAUGACUUUUUUGGGUUUUUGAAUUUACUUUCCACCCACAUGUGUAUGGGAUUAUUAGUCUAUAGAUGCAUACUGGUGUCUUUUACUUUGAGUUUUUGUUACUGGCAUGUUUGGUCCAGGAUUGUAAGGAUACUUUUGAUUGAAUACCAAGUGUUAGAAAAAACAA